rnacentral:rRNA from 1 species
CCUACGGGCGGCUGCAGUGGGGGAUAUUGCACAAUGGGGGAAACCCUGAUGCAGCGACGCCGCGUGGGUGAAGAAGUAUUUCGGUAUGUAAAGCCCUAUCAGCAGGGAAGAAAGAAGACGGUACCUGACUAAGAAGCCCCGGCUAACUACGUGCCAGCAGCCGCGGUAAUACGUAGGGGGCGAGCGUUAUCCGGAUUCACUGGGUGUAAAGGGAGCGUAGACGGCCGUGCAAGCCAGGAGUGAAAGCCCGGGGCCCAACCCCGGGACUGCUCUUGGAACUGUGCGGCUGGAGUGCGGGAGGGGCAGGCGGAAUUCCUGGUGUAGCGGUGAAAUGCGUAGAUAUCAGGAGGAACACCGGCGGCGAAGGCGGCCUGCUGGACCGCGACUGACGUUGAGGCUCGAAAGCGUGGGGAGCGAACAGGAUUAGAUACCCUUGUAGUC